CAGCCCGAGGGACGAGACGUUUCUGCGAGGCCUGGACGAGGAGUCUGGCACGGUCGUGGCAGAGGAGGUUCAAACAGGCCAGGCUUCUCCCAGCCUGCGCGCGCACGGAACACAGAGUUUCCCUGUCUCUGGACGCUUACAGGUUUUCUGCCUCCGAUUUCCAGCCGAAGGAGCAAAGGGAGUUAAUCGGUAAACAGCUUAAGAAAGAAGAACUCUUCUUGUGCCCGUCUGAAGAUCACUGGUGCCCUUCCUCUGCCCCUUUCCCAGUUUGCCACAACUGUGUAUGUACUGGGAAACCCAGAAACAAAUGAAAAAACACCCCAAGGAAACAUGGGGUGUUGGGUUUUGUCCAAGGGCUAAACCCCAGGAACAGGAAGUUACCUGGAGAUUUCAGAGCCAGGCAGACAGCCAGGGAAGGACCAAGAGAGGAAGCUGAGCUCUCAGUUCCUCUGCUAAUUCAGAGCAAGAAACAGGCCUCAAGCUGAGUCCCCUUUGGUCAACUCAGUUCGCCCAAGCCUCACUUCUUCACCUGAAAAUGGAAACAAGAGGAGAAAAGGGAACCCUCCUGCACUGUUGAUGGGAAUGUAAGCUGGUGGAGCCACUGUGGAAAACAGUACGGAGGCUCCUUUAAAAACUAAAAAAAAGAGAUUUGCCAUAUGAUCCAA